AUGUUGCAAGACAAAAUAAGAUCCAGUAUAUUAAUUAGUACAGUUCAUGCAUACACCAAAAUCCAUCCAAAUAAAAUCAGAAAUUCUCUGAAUUUUUAGUACACCACAUACACCACUAGCACGCAGAUAACUUAACUAAUUCCUCUGAGCUGCAAAAUAUCUCAACUAAUCAGGAUGACCUCCAACUCACGGACCUCCAAUCUGACCAAAGAAUCACCGCCGGCCCCAAUAUCAAUCACCUCUUCUGUCCCGGUGGGAUCAUCUUUUGAAUUCUUCCCUCCUGUAGUAGAGGGGUCAUCUUUAGUCUCUUCACAUAUACACGCAGCAGGGUUGGCAUAGAAUUUGCCGUUUGUAUGGAAAUAUGGAAAGAGUGCAUUGAGGGCUUGUAUGGAAAUAUGGAAUCAACUCACCUUUGCUUGCGAACUAUCUAAGUAUUGAGAUCUGAAACUAUUCAUACAUGUAAGUUUUGCAUCGCUUGCAAACGGCACCUUGCUCUUUCCUCUCCUUUCCUCCGCCCCAUAGUAACACCCUAAAGGCAAGCAUAUCACUUUCAAAUCUGCCAUAAAGCCAUGGAACACAUGUUGAAAAAUACAAAAGCAUAAAGAUGCAUGCUGUAAUAUUUUACAAACAAAAUAUUAUUUCACUUUCUUCUUUUCUUUUGAUUAAUUAGCCAAUUAGCCUUCAUAAAUUUGGUGCUCCAUUAUAUUGUAGAUAAAGAUAAGAGAACUCAUUGGCUCUGAAAGGCAACUAAAUGAUAAUCACUAAAUUGUACUGGCAUUUUCUGUACUUGGAUAAAUAAAAUUCAUGCUUCAUUCCUUCCAAAAGAGUGAAGCGGGGAAUAUCCUCAAACUAGAAAUGUCAAAACAAUGUUUCUCAGUGGGAAAAAAUUAGGGUGCUAAUAAAAAACAAUAGAUGGCCACAAGCAACAUACGAGAAGAAACUAAAUACUGAGAAAGAGUCCAGGUCUCUUCUAUUUCUCGAUGAACUAAUAAGUUAUAUCAUGGUAUGAAGUGAGUCAUGCACAACCACAUCAGCCAUGCUACAUUUUCCAAUGAAAUGUCAGUUUUGUCCACACAUACAAACUGCGCAAGUUGCAUGCAGCCUUCUACAAAUUACUUGCAAAUGUACAAGGGUAACUUACUUUUUAUCCUUGUUAGUUUAAAAAGGACACCACAGCUUCACUAUGACUCUCAUACAAGCUAAGAUUCACAACAAUUUCUCC
rnacentral:lncRNA from 1 species